GAGACAGACAGAGAGAGAGACAGACAGAGACAGAAAGAGACAGAACAGACAGAGAGAAAGAGAAGAAGAAAGAAGAAGAAAGAAGAAGAAAGAAGAAGAAAGAAGAAGAAAGAAGAAGAAAGAAGAAGAAAGAAGAAGAAAGAAGAAGAAGAAGAGGAGGAAGAGGAAGAAGAGGAGGAGGAGGAGGAGGAGGAGGAGGAGGAGGAGGAAGGAAGGAAGGAAGGAAGGAAGGAAGGAAGGAAGGAAGGAAGGAAGGAAGGAAGGAAGGAAAAAAAUAAAGUGAAAUAAAAUGAAAUGAACUCUGACACAUUUUCAUUUUUAAUAAAGGUCAAAGUUUUCUUCAUGGUUGAUUGAAUAUUCAAAAAUCUCCAUUGAAUUUUCAUUAUAUGUGAUCUGUCACUGAUAAGUGUCUACAGAGAAAGAUAAGAAAAAAAAAGUAUAGAUCCUUAAAAUGUAUUUCUUUCUUAUGGACUACUUUAAAACAUGAGUCAUCUCAUAGAUCUAAUGACCUUAUUGUAGGUGGCAAGUUUAAAUGUGCCAUAUUAAUAACUUGUUAUCCAAGAUAAAUUAAGUCCUUAUGUGUCAAAAGCACUCUGAACUGGAUUACCUACAAGACAAGUAUUUAUUGAAUAAAUGUUAACUCCAAUUUCAUUCUAAUUUGACUGACUGUAUGCUGCAUACUCCUUGAAUGAGAUAAAAAUACUCAAAUCUAUAACUGAUACAUUACAACAUUAUACAUAACUUGUCUAUUUCUAUUAAUUUUGUUCUUAAAGUAGGAGAGAGAAAGCGCUCUCUCUCUCUCUCUCUCUCUCUCUGUGUGUGUGUGUGUGUGUGUGUGUGUGUGUGUGUGUGUGUUUUGUUCUGAAGAGCAAGGAGAGAGAUAGAAAAAAGGGCUGGCAUUCAGCCUAAAGAGAAAUCAUUGAAACAAAUUAAUCCUAUGCCGUUUAAAUUGACAUGGUAAUCCAUCAUCAGGGAAGGCGAACUCUGAAAGCAAUCUAGGAUCUGCAGUGUUCUUUCACUGGCCCUGGAGGCACAAAGACAGAUAGUAGAGGAGGGGAAAACAUCAUAAAAGUUAGUAAUGCCUUCGAAAAAAAGAAAAUGACUAUAUCCAGUUUUCCUUUUCCUUACCUCCAAGGCCUGUUUCAGAAGGGAACUUAGGUUAACUUUCAACAAAGUUUACUUGUAAAUGUUGUCAUCUUCACUCUCAGCUCCAAAGGUCUCUAACUGACAUAGUGUAAAAUUUUAACCAUUAUUUGACUCAUUUUCAACAUAGACUAAAUAUGAUCCUUGACAUCAUAGAGAUAUAAACAAUAACUUUCCUUAAAGCCAUUUUUAAAAUUUUUCACAUUUUUCUUAAUCACUUUCUCAUUUAAAUCAAUCCCAUUAAUAUAUUAUGAAAAUAUAUUUUAUUAUUAGGUUUUACUUUAUACAUUAAUGCCUUAGUAGCAUCACAAAAAUUUGACAUAAGAAGGUUGUUGUCACUACCCCUGCUGGGUAUAUUUAUAAUUAAUGCAGAGCAUUUUUUUAAAUACCUGGUUGAGUUUCACAUGCCUUAGAAGGAGUCCUUUAAUUUUUUAACUUGGAAAUAUAUCCCAUUAAAAUAUUUUCUGCUAAAACAAUGUUAUGAUGAAAACCCUUAUAAAAUAAGUUACACUAUAAAAGUCUCUUUUUUAAAAUACAGUGUCUUAAAAAGUGUUUUACAUUUUUUAAACUAAUAAAUGUCUUGGUAAGUGGUCACUGUUGCCUGAGUUUACUAACGAAAUCAGGUAACUUAUUAUUUAUUGUUUUAAUAAUGAAUUUCUAUGGACAAAGUAAUACAUAUAUAUAAGUAAGUAUAUAGGAAUAUAUGUAUCUAUACAUAUUCAAUCCCUUUGUUAGCAGCAGACAGUUUGAAGAAAAAACUUUAAAUACUUUUGUGCCCAAGGCAGAGGGGCUACCUAAUAUGAACCAUACCCAACAUCUGCCCUAUUUUAAUUUAGAGAGGACAGGAUUUCUUCUAUUUUAUUAAGAAAACUUUAUAUGGUACAGUAACUUCAGAAUACACAUUACUACCAUCUUUUUCCUUUGUAAUUAGAUUUUACUUGUUCUCUAAGAAAGAAAUCAGAAGGUGAAAAAUAAUCACAGAAACUAACUGAUUUUUUUUAAGAAGUAUCAAAAACAGAUUAAAGAUAUUCAUGGGUAAAUAGGGAAAGACUAUCUAAGGAUUUUAAAUGAAAUGUUAAUUCAAAGUCAUGCCAAUUGAAAUUGUAACAGAGUAAAGUGAGUUCACAAAAUAAAUGAAAUGUAAAUCAUAGUUCCUCAUUUCUUGCACAUUAAAUUUCAUUUGCUAAUAUAUGGCUUAUAUUCCUUGAAUGAGUUUAUUUUUCAUUCAUAUAGAAUAUAUUUUAAGUAAGAACACUAUAUUCAAAAGGCCAUUGAAUAGUGAAAGAAGAGUACUGGCUAAAGAUAAUUCAUAAUCAUUCACAGAAGAGUGCCCCCCCAAAGCCCUAAUAUGUUUACUUUUUUUCAUUUCUGACAAAUAUUUUUAAAGUAGCUAAAUGUCACAUGUAGAAAUGAACAUUUCUAAGAAACUUUAGAAAUAAAAUGCUACAAAACUAUUUUUAUUAACAUAGAAGCUGGAAUAAAAAUUACCUGGCCUAUUUUUUAAAAUUUACUCUCCCUGAUUUGUGAUAUAAUGUGACCUUGUCAAGAAAUAGCAUCUUUACCAUUUUUCACUUAAGUGAAUAUCCUCUCUUCUUUAUGUUUUCAGUUUAGCUUUAACUAUUUUAAGUGAUAUAAUCUCAUCCAAUUUAUUUCAACCAAACCCAGAGAAUUCUUCUGGAUAAGACUGAUUAAUUUCUUACAAAUUGCAACAGACUGAUGAAAAAAGAACUAUUCUCAAACAUGUGUUUAAAAUCUUUAAAAGCUGUCUAAAGAUUGUUAAAAGAUAACAUAUUUAAGCUGUAAAGCUAAUAAUUUAAUGGACAGGGGCUUAAAUGUAUUGUGAAACAGCCCAUCUUAAUUCAGCAAAAGAAAUUCAUCUAACAUUUUUUUUUUAAAAAAAGCAGCCACUUUCCAAGUAAAUCAGAUUUUUAUGUGGAAAAGACAUAAUUAGAUAUAUAAUUGAUUAAUAUAAUCUCUAUCCACAUAGUGUCUCUCCUAUUGUCUGUGAAUCUAUAUUUUCCUGUCUAUUCUGAGCCUCUUACUAUAUGCCUUAUUGUGAUAUAUGGAUCUGUAUUUAUAAAAAGUCUUCUGUAGGCCAUAAUAGGAAGGAAAUUCUUUUUAAAGUUAUUUUUAACAUCUAAAAUUUAUCUUGAGUUUUUUGCUAAGUGAAAUUAAUUCAGAUAAAUUUUCUUUGAUAUUCUUGUUUAAUACAUUGACAUUCAACCAAUUAGCAAUAUUAUUUGUUUUAUUAGCAACUUCAUUUUUUAAGUACCAGCACUCAAUAGGUUGAUUAAUAAUUUUUAGACAUUAUAUAGAAAGACAUCUUUAUAAAGAUUUAAUCAUUAACAUCUUGAAAAGAAGGAAAAUAUUUGUUAUGAAUAUUCAAGUAAUAUUUCAGUUAAGCCUCCUUGAAGCAGAAAUUAAUGUCAAAAAGGUGUCCCUCUUUUUUAAAAAGUUAUCUAGAAAUUUUAAUAUUUUAAGUCAUUUUUGUCAGAGGCAUAUUUUGUUCAAUGUUCAGGUGGCCACUUAAUGCCAGCAUUUUUGAUGGCCUGGGCUUGAACAUUCUUCAAUUCAUUAGAAAGUAAAGUACAAAAAAAAAAAAAAAGAGGGGGGGGAGACAUUUUAAGAUAAUUUACUUGCUAAAAUAUCUCACCGAAGAAAAUUUUCAUUUUCUAUUUUUAAAGUGCUUUUCAAAAAAAUGUACAACAUAUAUUUAACUUUAUCAAUAAUGAAGCGAUUCAACUUGCAUUUUAACCCUAACAAAAAAUGUCUCUGAGAAUAUCCAAAAUAUUUUCAUAUCGCCUCACUAUUGAUUUAUGAAGACAGGCACUUUUAUAUACUCUCCAUACAAAUGUAUGGACAAUAAUAUACAGGGCAUUGAUGUGUAAAUAUUGCUUCAAAAAACUUUUUCAUAUAAAAUGUCUAUGUCCAUGUAUGUGUAAUUAAACAUGUGCUUACAUAGAUGUGUGUAUUAAUCUUUUUGAAUGUGGGCUUCUAUACGUUCAUAUAACUAUAACUACCUAUUGUGAGGUCAUCAGGCUUGAUGUCAGUAUAACAUGUUUUCAUAAUCACAUUCAAUUCAAAUAUAAUUUGGCUAUUGACAAGAUGCUAAAUUAAUCUAACUUAAAAGAAAGAGGGUAAAUGUAUCUUGCUUUUAAACUAACUCCCCCCAAUAAAAACAUAAUCCAAAUUUAAUAUUACAUACAUUUUGGAAACAUGAAAAACAUGAAUAUGUCACUCAGUUUAAGAAAAUUAAAUGUUUUACUAAUUAAUAUUUUCUGAUUCCUAAAAUGCAUUUCAAGUAUUUUUAAUGGGGAAAAACUUAGCUUGUUUUUUUGGAGAUUUAUGUUCACACUUGGGGGUAGGGGGAGAAAAGCAGGGAAGAAAACAAAACAAAACAAAAAAUCUUGCAAAAGAACUGAGUUCACUGCUGCUUGCUGACCUCUCCUUUCUUUUUCAGCAGUCCCUUUUUGCAGAUUAGUAUGGUUAACCUUAGUUCUGUUUUGGACUAGGAAGGGUUAAUGAGACCAAGCUCCUUACAACCUCAAGGUCAGAGUUUCCUAUCUCCAAUCUAAGGAAUUAGGUAAAGAGGUUAUACGAUUAUAGUGAAAGGAGUUAUAGGCACUCGUUGCCUCAUACCUGAACAUACUGCUCUAAAUCCACUGGGAUUUUUGGGGGGUGGAGAGACAAGGAAACUUUAGCUAUAGAAAACUGUUAAUUGGGUCUGUACCUCUCUUUUCUGGUCCUCUGAUGAUCCAACCAGGACAAUUUACCUUGGUUCCUCAGGCUUAAUGAUAAUCAUAAUUAUAAUAAAUCAACCAAAAAAAAACAUUUAAAAAUAAAAUUAAAAUACCCACAAUAAUGUCUUUGGGGAAAACAGAAUGGGGGGUCCGAAGGAGAAAAAUGAAAAGGCAAUACUUCCCUCUCUUUUUACUCCCAUCCCCCUCCCUUUCCCCAGAAAUUAGUGGCCAGUUGAUUAUUUGCAGCUGCUUCUAACUUCAAGGUUUGUUUACAGUAGCCACACUAGCACUUAGAGAAGUGAAAAGCCAUUUUCACAUCAGUCCUGCUGCUUUCUUUUUCGGAUAAGGGUUUUUUCUCCUUACCACAAAAAACAUUCAAGAAGCUUUCCUAAGUUCAGUAAGCAGUCUUUUUCCUUAAAAUUUGCUGUGCCUCCAUCAAUUUGCCCUCUCUGCAUCUCAACCUUAUGGCAAGAAAAGGCUUUUCAUCACUAGGAUUUAGGUUAAUUACCCAAACCUGGUUUCCUGCCCUGUGGACUGGCCCGGGCUUCGCUGCCUGCUGCCAUUUCACUAUCUAGACUCAGAAAACUAGUCCCUGACUUAAGCGAUUUCCCCUCCAUCACUCCUAACACCUGGAAACCGAGUGGGUAUUCUGCUUUGAUCCCACCCAGAGGAGUUCCCUCGCUCUCAGUCUGCUACUGCGCUUGAAGACUUCCGAAGGGAGACAAUCGCAGCCGGGCAGAGGUGUUUGUUCAUAUUAGGAAAUAUUGACUGAGCUGUCAUUGGAAAUGAGGUGGGGGGGGGGGGGGCGUAGGAAAGAAGGAGAGGUUGAAGGGAAGGAAUCUGUCAAUAAGAAAGGUGACAAAAAUUUAGAUCUGCUGGUUGCAAUGGAUUGUAAUUAACGUACCCUUUUAGUCGAAAUUGGGAGUGGGAAGAAUGCUAUACCUGUUUUAUGAGACCCAUUUGUUUUGUGGGGUGAGUGGGAACAGAAUUACUUCUCGGUUGCUUAUUUAAAACAAACAAACAAAUUAAAAAAAAAUAAGGUAUGAUUCUGGGAUCAUUCCUUUCAACUUCUGUUGUUCAUUUCAAUGUCGAGUCAUUUGCAAGUUACUUUCAAAAUGUUCCAGGCAUUUAUUCCAAGGCUUUGUUAUCAUUUUACACCUCCACCUCCCAUCACAAUGCUUCCAGACUCUAUAGCAAACCGUAGAUUUUAUAAGACUUCUCUCCUUAUCCUAGCCACUCUGCCUUUCUGACGCUUUUGUAUCCUUGCGUCCACAACUAAUUCUUAGUUGGCUAGAGAUUUUAGGAUUCUCUUUCCCGGCGCCUUCCUAACCCUCUUUUGCUGUCCGGGGGAGGGAAAUGGGAGGCUAAUGAUAUUUUUCCUUGGCAGGGGGAGGGAGGUGGUGAAAGAAUUCCUCCUCUUCCUUUCUUGUUUUUUCCCCCUCUGGUAUAGCCAAAUCCAUGAAACUCCCUGCCCCUUUGUCACUAUGGGGGCUUCUAAUCACUUCAUAUCGAUUUUCUAACUCUUUUCAUCCCGUUGAAGACACAUCUUAAAACACUCCAACCCAGAGUGUGCUCUUUGCUUUAUACACACUAAUAAAAUGAUUUACCCUUCUCUCUGCGCUCUCCUCACAGGAGAAAAUCGUUCAAGUCCCGGCUAUUUGUGUGUGAUCAGUAAAUAUUUAGUGUGGUGACAUCUUCAGCUCCUCUCCUGAUCAAUACCCAGCCCAACAGGAGGUUCCCAUUGUCCAGGAGGAGACUUGCUGAGCUCUGUUUAGAUGAGUUCUUCUCUUCCUCUUCUGGGCUCUGAUUUAUGUUAGAAUAGAACCAGCAAAGGGGAGAACUUGCUUUUUAAAAUGUCUUCUAAACCUUUUUAUUUUUGACAUUAAACCACCUAUGCAACUGCUAAAUUAUUCCAUGAGAAGGGAGGUCUCAAACUCUCCUCCUGCUGCCUUUUCCCCUUUUCUUCCUCUCUGAUCUUCUAACACUUUAAAAGCCUUGGUAUGAAAUGCAUAUCUUCGGAAGCACCUUUCAAAACCGUUAAUUUCCUUUUUGCAGGAACUACCCCCUCAACCCCUUAACACUCCCCACUCAAUCUAAUUUAUGGGAAGUGAGAAACAAGGGAGGAGAGAGGAAGAAUGGGUGAGAAAUCAAGAGGUCCAAGAAUCCAACCCCAGGGCUGCUUCAGCUUUAAAAACUCUUCCAUACCCCUACUUUUGUCACUAAUCUUUCUGUCCCACCCAUCCCUAUCCCUAGCAAACAGCUCCUGAAUCAAGUAACAAGAUGGAAAGGGGUAGGUGUUUUAAUUCCUAACUCAGAGAUCAUCUCCAUCCUCAGCAGAGAAGCUAAGAUUCUCUCCAAGAUGUUCCAUCCAUCAACACUUUUUUGUAAGGAGUGGGAAAACAAGGCUAUAGUCUUGGUAGGCGAUAAAAAGGCUAAAUCACACACACACACACAUACACGCACGCUCGCGCGCGCGCGCACACGCACACAUACACAAACACACACACACUUCCCUCUCUCCUCAUCCUAAACUACUUCGUGCCCUCCAA
rnacentral:lncRNA from 1 species